GAUGAACGCUAGCUACAGGCUUAACACAUGCAAGUCGCAGGACUGGAGCACGGGUGAGUAACGCGUAUCCAACCUUCCCAUAACUACGGGAUAACCCGUUGAAAGACGACCUAAUACCGUAUGGUUAUGGGUGGGGAUGCGUCUGAUUAGCUUGUUGGCGGGGUAACGGCCCCCCAAGGCAACGAUCCGUAGGGGUUCUGAGAGGAAGGUCCCCAAUAUUGGAACGGAGACACGGUCCAAAGUCCUACUGGAGGCAGCAGGGUGGAAGAUUGGGAAAUGGUGUAGAGCCUGAAACUGCCAAGUAGCGUGAAGGAUGUCGGCCUAUGGGUUGUAAGCUGCUUUUAUGUGGGAAUAGGUACCACAUGAAUAAGGACCGGCUAAUUCCGUGCCAGCAGCCGCGGUAAUAC
rnacentral:rRNA from 1 species